rnacentral:pre_miRNA from 1 species
GCUGUUUUCGGGUGGAUGACCUUGCAAUUUUGGUUUUUCCAUUAAGGUUCUAAAAAAAUUGCACGGUAUCCAUCUGUAAUCCGCC